AUGUGGCCACCUGCCAAGAGCGCGUGGAGCCACCAGGAGCUGGGAGAGGCCCGGAGCCAUGGCCCUGCCAACUCCUCCAUCUCAGGCGCUGACUUCUGGAACUGGGAGAGGACAAGCUUCUCUCAGCCUGAAGGAGGCCCUUUCCCCCAGCGCUCUGCCCUUGGGAGGGGUCUCCCUGCUGGCGCCGGGGGCCUCGGCAGAGUCUGCACCCUUCCGGGGGCUCCGGGCGCUGCCGGCCCGCCUCAGGGUGCCGCUGUCCUUGGAGGCCUCCUCCUCGGGGGCCCCCUUCACCCUGAGCUGCCGCUGCGAGACCGCCCGGGUGAGGCCGGGGGCUCUGGACGCGGCCGGGGGAUCGGUUCUCAUGCACCGAGAAGAGGAGGCCACGGUGUUGCGGGCAAAGCUGGGCACGGGGGCUGGGGCGCGGGGGGCGCUGGGGGCCGGCGGGCUCCUGGGCUCGUCGUCGGCGCCCUCCGAGGUGGAGCUCGAGCGGCACACCUUAUUUUCCUCGGGCUUCUGCCUGGGGAGGUUCCUGAGGGGUUUGGCGGUGGGCUUCUUCAGGGAGCCCCUGGAGGGCACCGGGGCCUCCCUCCACGGCCGGGUGCUGCUCCGCGGCGGCCUCGGCUCCUCCACGGCCACCACCGCCUCAGCGCCCGUGGAGGGCCUGCGCGGCGACGUGUCCGAGGUGCCGAGCGCCGAGCCGCGGCGAGACAGCCGCGCGUCCACGCUGCCGGGCGAGUCCCGCGGGGACGCCCGCGACGGCGGCGGCUCGGGCCGCUUCCAGCCCGCAGGGCCCCGGCUCGCCUUGGAGAUGGGCACGACCUUGCGCAUGCUCUCGCUCUCCGAAGCGGUCAAGGUGCGCACGGGCUUGGGCGCGGCGCCCUGGCCCCUCCACACGCUCGCCGGCCUGCAGGUGCUGGGAGCCGCCUCUCUCGGUGGGUUUCUCUUCGGCGUGGCCAUUUCCUUCCCUUUGGCAGAUCUGACCCUGGGAAGGCCCCGUUGGCGCUGGGCUCACUCCCGGAGCCAAGAGCCUGGUCACGCCGCCUGGACCACAAGUCCCUGAAACCCUGA
rnacentral:lncRNA from 1 species